rnacentral:rRNA from 1 species
UACGUAGGGUACAAGCGUUAAUCGGAAUUACUGGGCGUAAAGCGUGCGCAGGCGGUUGUGCAAGACCGAUGUGAAAUCCCCGGGCUUAACCUGGGAAUGGCAUUGGUGACUGCACGGCUAGAGUGUGUCAGAGGGGGGUAGAAUUCCACGUGUAGCAGUGAAAUGCGUAGAGAUGUGGAGGAAUACCGAUGGCGAAGGCAGCCCCCUGGGAUAACACUGACGCUCAUGCACGAAAGCGUGGGGAGCAAACAGG